UCCCUUCAUGGUUGCCAUGUCUAACUAGAC
rnacentral:piRNA from 1 species